rnacentral:rRNA from 1 species
GACAGAGGGUGCAAACGUUGUUCGGAAUUACUGGGCGUAAAGCGUGUGUAGGCGGCUUUGCAAGUCGGAUGUGAAAGCCCCGGGCUCAACCCGGGAAGUGCACUCGAUACUGCAGAGCUUGAGUAUCGGAGAGGUUGGUGGAAUUCUCGGUGUAGAGGUGAAAUUCGUAGAUAUCGAGAGGAACACCGGUGGCGAAGGCGGCAUCCUGGACCACGACUGACGCUGAGGAGCGAAAGCCAGGGGAGCAAACGGG